CAUUUAACCAGGAAGUUCACGCCUCCUUCCUUACCAUGACGCGAAAUAUGUCCAAAGCUCGUUUUGAACCUGGAUCUCCUGCUUAUAAAGCAUAUGAUCUAACCACUGCGCCACGGCCGCACAAUAUUUGGCAUAACUUUUUUGUGAAUCAAGAAGCUCGUUUUGAUCAGUUUAGAAAAUUAAAAGGUUUAAAGAAAGAUAAGCGCUAGAAAAAGAAUGAGCUAAAACAAAGUGAAGUUACAUUAUAUUUUUAAAUAUAUUAGUUGAGGUUGAGAGUUUAUGUUCACUUAUUUUAGUUUAAAAGACAUCUUUGUCAGACACUUGUCUCAGAAAGCCAUAGCUAUUCAAAGGCGUCUAAAUUUUAUUACGCCUAAUACAGGUCUUUAAACGUCUUUAAAAAACGCUGAGAAGAGAAAUGUUUUUUUUUUUAAUAUUGUUACUCUGUAGAAGUUACUGAUAUACCUGUUACUUCAAUGAAGUUUUCAUUCUAUUUAUAAAAUAUUUUAUUUUUUCUUCAAACCUAAUAUUUGUUUAACUUUCUACAGGUAAUACUAAUAUGAAAACAAUUUUUAUUGUUUUUUGAUUUAUACUCGGGUAAAAUAUUCGUUUUCUUAUUUUAAUUUAUUGUUAAAACAUAUAUUUUUUCAUUAUUUUAUUUUAUGGUUAUUUUCAAGAGAAGGCAGAGACACCAACAAAAAGCUUUGAAGUUAAUAAUAGUGAAGAGGAGGCAGAUAAUUAUAAAAAUCUUUGCAGCUAAAGACAGUGAAGAAUCGAGUCGAAGUACUGUAGCCAGCUGGGCUACGCUCACUGGAUGAAUUGCAAAUUAAAACUGAUUUAAUACAAAGACGGCAUAAGUUUGCUGAAAGUUAUACAAAUGGAGAAGUAUUGGUGCGUUUCUUUCCACAUGUAGAAGUUAAUGCAUAUAGAAAGAGAGAUAAAGGAUGGUUUGUGAACUGAAAAUGUUUAUACUACUUCAAUGUUAAAUGAUAUCUCUAAAAAAGACAAAAAAAAAAUGAUGAAAAAUUAA